rnacentral:rRNA from 1 species
GAUGAACGCUAGCGGCAGGCUUAACACAUGCAAGUCGAGGGGUAGAGGAAGCUUGCUUCCUUGAGACCGGCGCACGGGUGCGUAACGCGUAUACAAUCUACCUUUUACAGAGGGAUAGCCCAGAGAAAUUUGGAUUAAUACCUCAUAGUAUUUUCGGAUCGCAUGAUUUGAUUAUUAAAGUUCCAACGGUAAAAGAUGAGUAUGCGUCCCAUUAGCUAGAUGGUAAGGUAACGGCUUACCAUGGCAAUGAUGGGUAGGGGUCCUGAGAGGGAGAUCCCCACACUGGUACUGAGACACGGACCAGACUCCUACGGGAGGCAGCAGUGAGGAAUAUUGGACAAAUGGGCGCAAGCCUGAUCCAGCCAUGCCGCGUGCAGGAUGACGGUCCUAUGGAUUGUAAACUGCUUUAUACAGGAAGAAACACUAACUUCGUGAAGUAGCUUGACGGUACUGUAAGAAUAAGGACCGGCUAACUACGUGCCAGCAG